rnacentral:rRNA from 1 species
GACAGAGGGUGCAAACGUUGCUCGGAAUUACUGGGCGUAAAGCGCGUGUAGGCGGUUCCGCAAGUCAGGUGUGAAAGCCCAGGGCUCAACCCUGGAAGUGCACUUGAUACUGUCGAGCUAGAGUAUCGGAGAGGUUGGUGGAAUUCUCGGUGUAGAGGUGAAAUUCGUAGAUAUCGAGAGGAACACCGGUGGCGAAGGCGGCCAACUGGACGAAUACUGACGCUGAGACUCGAAAGCGUGGGGAGCAAACAGG